AUACGUAGGUGGCAAGCGUUAUCCGGAAUUAUUGGGCGUAAAGCGCGCGCAGGCGGUUUCUUAAGUCUGAUGUGAAAGCCCACGGCUCAACCGUGGAGGGUCAUUGGAAACUGGGAAGCUUGAGUGCAGAAGAGGAGAGUGGAAUUCCAUGUGUAGCGGUGAAAUGCGUAGAGAUAUGGAGGAACACCAGUGGCGAAGGCGACUCUCUGGUCUGCAACUGACGCUGAGGCGCGAAAGCGUGGGGAGC
rnacentral:rRNA from 1 species